GACUAUAAUUAUACAACUGACACCCGAGAUUCUUCUAUCAUGUUUGGUUUUUUAUACAUCACAACCUCUGUGUGGAAAGGUUUUGUGCUUACAACGCAUUUACAAAUGAGGCCUCAGAUAUUGUCACCAAGGCUUCGGUGUGUUGUGUUUGUAGCUUAGCAACCAUUGAACUGAUGACAUCACAGGCAUCGUGGGAAACAGCUGAGGGUGGAAUGUGAGCAGUUGCCAAAAUUACACCGGUGAACUCUGGGUAAAUAAUGCGGACGGAAACUGACUGCCAGGAGUUUAAUAUCUGGGCUGCAGAGACGACACUUCCCAGUAACGCGUCCUGGAUGACACCAUCUGUUGUUGACAAGCACCGCUAAUCCACUUCCUUUUCUUUUCCCACUCCUUAAAUCUCUGUCAGGAAGCCUGGCACAGAGAGAAGCGGAUAUGAUCCGCCAGCCACGUCUCAGUAAAACACAAUACUUCAUUUAAAAACUCUGGCUGAGUCCUUCUUCGGGCUUGGAGUUCAUCCAGCCUGUUAGCCAGCGAUCUCCAGUUGCUCAUUAUGAUUGUUGGAAGACGUAGUCUGAACUUCCUCCUUCUUUCUCUCCUUCACAAUCACUACGCCUCCUUUUCAACUCAUCUGGGUUUUGUGUCUUCAGUUGAGGUAUUAUUUCAGUUUUCCUGAUGGUAAUCAGCUGCUCCUGGUUGUAAACCACCUUGUUGCUAUGGUUACGCGUCACAACAAAUGCCCAAAAGCAAAGAAAGUAUCAGCUAUAAUCCUUCCAGCUGCACAGCAUCCUAAAGUAGAGAGGACAAUGGUGCAAGAAACCAACACAUUUUCUACCUGAAAUGGAGGAAGUAAAGUUUAAAGAAAGGCAACAGAGCGACUCCAACAUGCUGCAACCGUGAGUGGAGCAAAUCUGGAACUUUUUCAUUCAUUAAAAUGACAGAGGCGACAGGCCGCCAUACCCAGCCAGACAAGGUGAAAGUCAACGUCAUCCCAGACCCAAACAGGGAGGGACGUUAAGAGCCAAUUAUGGCGACAUAGUCAUCGGUUUGAGUUAUUUUGGGAGGAGCGACUCCAGGGAAAUAACAGCAAUGCAAUUAUGAAUAUAUGCUCAUCAUAAUUCAUUUAUUUUCUCGUGGAAGUCGCCGAGCUCCUCCCUGAACAAUGGCGUUUGCCUUUGUGUGUUUAGUUAAAAACGCCACUUUAGCAGAUGUAAUCGCUUUCCAGGGCAGUUUAAUCAUCGUUUCACUGCAGAGUUAAAACACACAUGGAAAUGUUGCUUUUUGAAAGCAUUUUGGAAAAUACAGAGGAGAUCAUAAGUUAGACAUUCAGUAAGCACUGGAUAAGCUCUUGGGAGGCUGAGAGCAUUCAGUGGCUGUCUAUUCAUCCUGUCAUGUUCUCCAUGUAUUUUACUUUUCAUUACAUUAAUAUUUAUCCAGAUGUGAUUUUAAGUUUUAUUAAGGUUUUAGUGUAAGUACCUGCCAGCUUCUGACAAACUGAAACACUUUGAGUUAGAAUCUCUUCUUGGAUGUGUUUAGCAUGAAAGAUGACUCAUUUUUUUGACUAACUCAUUAGUCACUGCAAAGACAUUUAAAAUGUUGAUAGUGAUGACUAAAACAUCCACUGGCAGACUAUUUAAAAACCAUUUUCAACGCCCAGAUCACCAGAUUGCAGAAAAAUGGAGAACUCUGUGAUCUCACACUUUGCAAACCUUUGAUGUCUGAGGAGCCACCAGGAUGAUGCAAGUCGUGUCGUUAAAGUGCAACACACCACCUGUGGCUAAUUCUGUUUACAUGGUUUCCUCACAGCAGUCAUAUUUUAGGACAACUGGAAUAGCCUGCAACAAAGCCUGAAGAAUAUUGUGGAGUUACCUUGUUAAAGCCUGGACGUAAAUUUGAUUGGGAUUCUGGGAGAUGGCUUUAAAUAGGCCAUUAAUGUUUAACAUCACUCCAAAGUAACAUUCCCAUAAAGAAGAGUAGGCCAUUAUUCCUCCACAGUAAUGUCAAAGAACUGAUCUUCCUCUUGCUGUGUGCAGCCCUCCACUGAUUUCUGGUUUUAAGUAAAUAAAGACGGACAAAUAACUGUUUCUACCCAGAAUGAUAAUCCAAAUUCAUUGAUGGCACCCAGAGAUGGUUCUUCACAAUCCUAAAAGUAUGCUGCAACAUUUCCUGCAGAGGCAGAAUUUUAAUCAUCCCCUGGAUUUAUAGCAGCGUUUCUCAGCUGCUCAAAUAUCGUCAUUCAACAUAGUAACGCAGAAAGGGAAUGCACUGUCUCUCACGGUGUCCUGACUGAUAUUUAUCUCACUGGCUUCCUUAGAGCUUCGUCCAAACUGGUAAAAUGACAGAGACUUUGGAUUGGUGAAGAACUUUGACCCCACAUUUUAUUGCUGAAUCUUCUUUAAAUGCAACUUCAAGCCAGGAGAUUUAAUUGAAGAUGAGGUAAAGGAAUGGUGAAGUGUUCAUUAUGAAGGUCAUCCGUCACAGCGUGCCUGUUUAGUGUGUUAGCGCUCAGAUUGAUGUCCUUCCUGCCAGGUUUGUGACGUCCCAACAGCCCAACACCAGUGGAGCUCUGAGCGUUACGGGGAAGAAUAAAAGCAGUUUUUGCUGAGCUCCAGCUCCAGUGAAGCAUGUUUGUUUGUUGGCUACUGAGCUACAUGUUGCUAAAUGUGAUGUGAGCGAGCGUUAAAGCAGCAGAACACUCCGGAGAGCUGCGUAACCAUCUCUGGUAUUGGCUUGACUUUGAGGUAGAUUAAAAGAAAACACUGAAGAUUGGGGCUGAAAUUGAGGGCAGACUGGGAACACACACACACACACACACAUGCACGCAUGCGGACACACACGUCACAUGGUGAUUGACCUUUUCUUAAAGACCUGUUAGGUGCACCUGCUCAGUAAUUGGACACAGGCACAGAGGGGAGUCUCCCUGCACCCAUUUGUGUGUGUCCCACAGCCAUGGCGGAGCACUUUAAAUUAAUUUCACUUGAGCUCUGACAUUUAUAUAUUGGAGCUACUGCUGAGAGCUGACCGCUUCAGUGAGACUGUGUUUGU